AUAAUCGACGCCUAAAACUUUGUUUAGUUUCUGCAUUUCUUUUUCUUUUUUUUUUGCGAUAGGUAUUUAAUUUCCAAAUUUUUUUUUUUUUUUGGAACUAUCGUUUGAACUACUCGAUUUAUCCAACUCUGAUAAAGGUCGAUCAGCAACCUCGAUUUAUUUCAACAUGAUGUAGGUUUUUCUGUACGGUUAAAGCGGCAACCUGGUGAAUUAUCGAGUUUCUGGAAUGUGUAGGAUGACAAACGGGAUUGCUAUAAACGGUUCAUUAUUAUGUAUAUUAGGGAUGAACCUAUGAUAAUCAAGAUACAGGAUUAAGUCUUUGAAUUAGAAAUUUGUGAUUCGAAGAAAUAAAAAUAUAAUAA